GCAUAUCAAUAAGCGGAGGAAAAGAAACCAACAGGGAUUGCCUUAGUAACGGCGAGUGAAGCGGCAACAGCUCAAAUUUGAAAUCUGGCCCUUGGGUCCGAAUUGUAAUUUGUAGAGGAUGAUUUUGGUGCGGUAUCUUCCGAGUUCCUUGGAACAGGACGCCUUAGAGGGUGAGAGCCCCGUACGGUUGAAUGCCUAGCCUCUGUAAAUCUCCUUCGACGAGUCGAGUAGUUUGGGAAUGCUGCUCUAAAUGGGAGGUAAAUUUCUUCUAAAGCUAAAUAUUGGCCAGAGACCGAUAGCGCACAAGUAGAGUGAUCGAAAGAUGAAAAGCACUUUGAAAAGAGGGUUAAAUAGCACGUGAAAUUGUUGAAAGGGAAGGAUUUGUGACCAGACUUUUUCUGGGCGGAUCAUCCGGGGUUCUCUCCGGUGCACUUCGCCCAGUAAAGGCCAGCAUCGGUUUUCGGCGUGGGAUAAAAGCAGUAGGAAUGUGGCUCUCUACGGGGAGUGUUAUAGCCUAUUGUAUAAUACCGCGCUGGGGACCGAGGUUCGCGCUUCUGCAAGGAUGCUGGCGUAAUGGUUAUCAAUCACCCGUCUUGAAACACGGACCAAGGAGUCGAACAUUUGUGCGAGUGUUUGGGUGUUAAACCCUCACGCGUAAUGAAAGUGAACGGAGGUGAGAGCCCUUACGGGUGCAUCAUCGACCGAUCCUGAAGUUUUCGGAUGGAUUUGAGUAAGAGCAUAACUGUUCGGACCCGAAAGAUGGUGAACUAUGCGUGGAUAGGGUGAAGCCAGAGGAAACUCUGGUGGAGGCUCGCAGCGGUUCUGACGUGCAAAUCGAUCGUCAAAUCUGCGCAUGGGGGCGAAAGACUAAUCGAACCAUCUAGUAGCUGGUUACGCGAA
rnacentral:rRNA from 1 species